rnacentral:rRNA from 1 species
AACAAACGCUGGCGGCGUGCCUAAUACAUGCAAGUCGAACGGGGAAAGCUUUCGGGUGAGUACUAGUGGCGCACGGGUGAGUAACGCGUGGAUAAUCUGCCUUAGAGUGGGGGAUAACUAGUCGAAAGGUUAGCUAAUACCGCAUAAGACCACAAGAACUGCGGUUCAAGGGGUCAAAGGUUUUUCGCUCUAAGAUGAGUCCGCGUAAGAUUAGCUAGCUGGUAGGGUAACGGCCUACCAAGGCGACGAUCUUUAACUGGUCUGAGAGGAUGAUCAGUCACACUGGAACUGAGACACGGUCCAGACUCCUACGGGAGGCAGCAGUAGGGAAUAUUGCACAAUGGAGGAAACUCUGAUGCAGCGACGCCGCGUGAGUGAUGAAGGCCUUCGGGUCGUAAAGCUCUGUCGCAGGGGAAUAACACAAUGAAGGUACCCUGUGAGAAAAGAUCGGCUAACUUCGUGCCAGCCGCCGCAGUAACAC